rnacentral:lncRNA from 1 species
GGCGGUGGUGGAGGAAGCGCCGCGCUUGCCGCCGCUCGGCGUGGUGAAGGCGCGCUACAGCUUGGCCGAAGACGCCGAAGGGGAAGGGGUGCUCAUCUUCCCCGGGCCCGGCGGGGGCGGCGGGGAGGACGGCGGGGCCACCCCGGGCCCGUCCUCGUGGUCAGUGGCCGUCCCGCCUCCCACGUCGGCCUCGGCGUCGGCGUCGUGCGCCCCGGCGCGCUGCGGAAAAUGCGGGGAGGGUUUCCAGGGCGUGGAGAAGCUGGUGUUCCACAUGCGCGCCCAGCACUUCGUCUUCAUGUGCCCUCGCUGCGGCAAGCAGUUCAACCACAGCAGCAACCUGAACCGGCACAUGAACGUGCACCGCGGCGUCAAGUCGCACGGCUGCGGCGUCUGCGGGAAGAGCUUCACGCAGAAAUCCACCCUCCACGACCACAUGAACCUGCACAGCGGCGAGCGGCCGUACCGCUGCUCCUACUGCGACGUGCGCUUCGCCCACAAGCCAGCCAUCCGCCGCCACCUGAAGGAGCAGCACGGCAAAACCACGGCCGAGAACGUGCAGGAAGCCAGCGGCGCCGAGAUCAACGUGCCGGUGCGCUGAGCCCGGCCCCGGGCGCCGGAACGUGGGGGUGACGCCGAGCCCCGGGCGCCCGCGGUCGUUUCUUGGACGCUGAGUUUCCGACGCUGAGCUCGAUUCCCAGGGGUGGCCGGUGGCCGUCGCGCUCGGACGAUGGGUUCGGCCGCCCCAAAUCCCUGGGGCUGGUGUCGGAUGUUGAGUUUGGCCACCCCAAAAUGCCAAGGUUCGGCGUUGGGCGUUGGGUUUGGCCACCCAGAAUGGCGAGGUUCUACUUUGGACAUUGGUUUGGGUCAUGAGGACGUCGGCGUUGUCUUCGGACGUUGGGUUUGGCCACCCCAAAUCUCUUGGAUGUUGCGUUUGGCCACCCCAAAAUGCCAACGUUGGGCGUUGGGCGUUGGGUUUGGGCACCCAGAACGGCGACGUUCAACUUGGGACAGUGGCUUCGGUCACGAGAACGUCGGCGAUGUCUUCAGACGUUGGGUUUGGCCACCCCAAAUCCAUUGGAUGUUGAGUUUCGCCACCCAGAAUGCCGAGGUUGGGCGUUGGGCGUUGGGUUUGGCCACCCUUUAUGGAGAAGUUCGACUUUGA